UGGGGAAUAUUGCGCAAUGGGGGAAACCCUGACGCAGCGACGCCGCGUGCGGGAUGAAGGCCUUCGGGUUGUAAACCGCUUUUGAUUGGGAGCAAGCUUUCGGGUGAGUGUACCUUUCGAAUAAGCGCCGGCUAACUACGUGCCAGCAGCCGCGGUAAUACGUAGGGCGCAAGCGUUAUCCGGAAUUAUUGGGCGUAAAGAGCUUGUAGGCGGUUCGUCGCGUCUGGUGUGAAAGCCCAUCGCUUAACGGUGGGUCUGCGCCGGGUACGGGCGGGCUAGAGUGCAGUAGGGGAGACUGGAAUUCCCGGUGUAACGGUGGAAUGUGUAGAUAUCGGGAAGAACACCAAUGGCGAAGGCAGGUCUCUGGGCUGUUACUGACGCUGAGAAGCGAAAGCGUGGGGAGCGAACAGG
rnacentral:rRNA from 1 species